rnacentral:rRNA from 1 species
UGAAUACGAGAUGCUACGGCGUCGAAGCAGUGUAUGUCAGACUUCCAAGAAAAGCUCGCAAUGUCAUAAAUAAAGAAUGCCUGUACCAUAACCGACACAGGUGGGUAGGUAGAGUAUACUAAGGGGCGCGAGAUAACUCUCUCUAAGGAACUCGGCAAAAUAACUCCGUAACUUCGGGAGAAGGAGUGCCUUCUUGAAGAAGGUUGCAAUAACAAGAUCCAAGCAACUGUUUAUCAAAAACACAGGUCUCCGCUAAGUCGAAAGACGAUGUAUGGGGGCUGACGCCUGCCCAGUGCCAGAAGGUUAAAGAAGCUGGUUAGCAAUAGCGAAGCUGGUGACUGAAGCCCUGGUGAACGGCGGCCGUAACAAUAACGGUCCUAAGGUAGCGAAAUUCCUUGUCGGGUAAGUUCCGACCCGCACGAAAGGCGUAAUGAUUUGGAUACUGUCUCGGAGAGGGACUCGGUGAAAUAGACUUGUCUGUGAAGAUGCGGACUACCUGCACCAGGACAGAAAGACCCUAUGAAGCUUUACUGUAACUUGAAAUUGAAAUUGGACUUUAUUUGCGCAGUAUAGGUGGAAGGCGUUGAGAUUACUCUUGCGGGAUUAGUGGAGCCAUCAGUGAGAUACCACUCCUAUAAUGUUAGAUUUCUAACUUUGGAUCAUAAUCUGGUCAAAGAACAGUUUCAGGCGGGCAGUUUGACUGGGGCGGUCGCCUCCCAAAUGGUAACGGAGGCGUACAAAGGUUUCCUCUGAACGGGUAGAAAUCGUAUCUAGAGUGUAAAGGCAUAAGGAAGCUUGACUGUGAGACCUACAAGUCGAGCAGGGACGAAAGUCGGUCUUAGUGAUCUGACGGUGCUGAGUGGAAAGGCCGUCACUCAACGGAUAAAAGUUACUCUAGGAUAACAGGCUGAUCUCCCCCAAGAGUUCACAUCGACGGGGAGGUUUGGCACCUCGAUGUCGGCUCAUCGCAUCCUGGGGCGGUAGUACGUCCCAAGGGUUGGGCUGUUCGCCCAUGAAAGCGGUACGCGAGCUGGGUUCAGAACGUCGUGAGACAGUUCGGUCCAUAUCCGGUGUAGGCGUUAGAAUAUUGAGAGGAGCCUUCUUUAGUACGAGAGGACCGAGAAGGACAUACCUCUGGUGUACCAGUUAUCGUGCCAACGGUAAACGCUGGGUAGCUAUGUAUGGAGAGGAUAACCGCUGAAAGCAUCUAAGUGGGAAGCCCACCUCAAGAUGAGUAUUCUCAU